rnacentral:rRNA from 1 species
AUUGAACGCUGGCGGCAUGCCUUACACAUGCAAGUCGAACGGCAGCACGGGGCAACCUGGUGGCGAGUGGCGAACGGGUGAGUAAUGCAUCGGAACGUGCCAUUGAGUGGGGGAUAACGUAGCGAAAGUUGCGCUAAUAUCGCAUACGAUCUACGGAUGAAAGCGGGGGAUCGCAAGACCUCGCGCGAUUGGAGCGGCCGAUGGCAGAUUAGGUAGUUGGUGGGGUAAAGGCUCACCAAGCCGACGAUCUGUAGCUGGUCUGAGAGGACGACCAGCCACACUGGGACUGAGACACGGCCCAGACUCCUACGGGAGGCAGCAGUGAGGAAUAUUGGUCAAUGGGAGCAAUCCUGAACCAGCAAUGCCGCGUGUGGGAUGACAGGGCUUCGCCUUGUAAACCACUGUCGGACGGGACGAAAAGGAGGCCUCGGGCCUCUGGGACGGUACCGUCAAAGGAAGGGUCGGCUAACUACGUGCCAGCAGCCGCGGUAAU